GGACUACUAGGGUAUCUAAUCCCGUUCGCUCCCCUGGCUUUCGCGUCUCAGCGUCAGCAGGGGUCCAGGCGCUCGCUUUCGCCGCGGGCGUUCCUUCCGAUCUCAACGCAUUUCACCGCUCCACCGGAAGUUCCAGCGCCCCCUACCCCCCUCCAGACGACCCGUUUCGACGCCCCUUCCCCGGUUGAGCCGGGGGCUUUCAGCGGCCGACGCGGUCAUCCGCCUACACGCGCUUUAAGCCCAGUGAUUCCGAAUAACGUUCGCACGGUUCGUCUUACCGCGGCUGCUGGCAC
rnacentral:rRNA from 1 species